ACGCUAUCCGACCUGACGGCAGAAGUCUCCGCCGGACUUUGGUUCUUCUCCUUUUGUUUCGAUGGUCGGUAUCAAAAUGGGACAGAACUCGCUUGUUUUACGGAAACUUUUAUUGACUACGACAACAAGCACCUUUCGAAGUUCCACGUCGACCAUCUUGAAUUGCUGAAGGACUUCUGCUUCAAUGCAUUAAGUGGCCUUCUGGAGUACCAGAUUGAGGCGUCCAUCAGCAUCGCGUGCCUUCUGAUCGGACUAGUAGCUUAUCUUCUGUACUACAAAUCAAGAGUCACUAAAAAGGGAUCUGGCAUCGUGGCAUGCUCUUGUUUUGCAAUUUCAGCUAUAAUGUUGUGGUUAGUUGUGGGGAAGAUAACAACCAUCACUCUCCAGAUGAAGAAAACCUUUGAGUUUCCUAUGGCGGCCAGCCACGCAACCAUUACGGUACUGAUGCCGUGGUGUCUGCUUGUUGCUGGAUUGUCUGCCCUGAUGACUUCGUAUUCUACAAUGACUUUCCUUGUCUAUUUGGCCCAAGACAAAACCCCGCAACACAGAUACAUGAAAACCAAUAGUCAUCAGCAGAUCCUUGCAGAAGACCAAGAACCUUGCUGCUCCAAUAACAAUCACCAUUCUAUUCCUAUGACACGGUUAAAAUAAACCCAGCUGUUUAAGUGUUACCAACUACUUCAGAGGAAAAUCAAAUGGACCUUUUUGUAAAGAAUUGCACAAUAGAGUACUUUAAAUUCAAAUGCAGCAAACUUGAAAACCACUGUCAUUCAGAAAGAUCCUAUUCACAAAUGACCUUGGGAACAUCUGUGUUUGUCCUUGUGGAGUGAAAUGCCUUAUUGCACACUACUAAUAAAGUAAUGAUUACUAGACUGUUAUAUUGUAAAGGUGUAAUCUUUACACAUGUGUUACAAUUGACUAAGUGACAUAUACAUGUAAUUAAGGAGGUUUGUGUCCUUCUUAAGUACAAAAUAAUAAGUAUAAUCCUGUUUUAAUAUUAAUUUACAUUUUAUUUUCAUUUUGUAUAUUGCACCUUACACAUUAAUAAAAUUUUAAUGAAAUCAC
rnacentral:misc_RNA from 1 species